rnacentral:rRNA from 1 species
UACGUAGAUCCCGAGCGUUGUCCGGAUUUAUUGGGCGUAAAGCGAGCGCAGGUGGUUUAUUAAGUCUGGUGUAAAAGGCAGUGGCUCAACCAUUGUAUGCAUUGGAAACUGGUAGACUUGAGUGCAGGAGAGGAGAGUGGAAUUCCAUGUGUAGCGGUGAAAUGCGUAGAUAUAUGGAGGAACCCCGGUGGCGAAAGCGGCUCUCUGGCCUGUAACUGACACUGAGGCUCGAAAGCGUGGGGAGCAAACAGG